rnacentral:rRNA from 1 species
GACGAACCGUGCGAACGUUAUUCGGAAUCACUGGGCUUAAAGCGCGUGUAGGCGGGAGGGCACGUCCGUCGCUGAAAUCCCCCGGCUCAACCGGGGAACGGGCGCGGAUACGACCUUCCUGGAGGGGCGUAGGGGGACCUGGAACUUCCGGUGGAGCGGUGAAAUGCGUUGAGAUCGGAAGGAACGCCCGUGGCGAAAGCGAGGUCCUGGACGCCUACUGACGCUGAGACGU